CGUAGGUGGCAAGCGUUGUCCGGAUUUAUUGGGUUUAAAGGGUGCGUAGGCGGCCCUGUAAGUCAGUGGUGAAAUAUCUCAGCUUAACUGAGAGGGUGCCAUUGAUACUGCGGGGCUUGAGUACAGAUGAGGUAGGCGGAAUUGACGGUGUAGCGGUGAAAUGCAUAGAUAUCGUCAAGAACUCCGAUAGCGAAGGCAGCUUACUAAGCUGUAACUGACGCUGAGGCACGAAAGUGUGGGGAUCAAACAGGAUUAGAUACCCUGGUAGUCCACACUGUAAACGUUGAUGACUCGAUGUUGGCGAUACACAGCCAGCGUCCAAGAGCAAUCGUUAAGUCAUCCACCUGAGGAGUACGCCGGCAACGGUG
rnacentral:rRNA from 1 species